GACGAACGCUGGCGGCGUGCUUAACACAUGCAAGUCGAACGAAGUGGCGAAAGGGUGAGUAAUACGUGGGUAACUGCCCUCCUUUUGGGAUAAGCCUUGGAAACGGGGGCUAAUACCGAAUAAAGGGGGAUGGCUAGCGGCCUAUCAGCUUGUUGGUGGGGUAGUGGCCUAACAAGGCGACGACGGGUAGCCGGCCUGAGUGGGCGACGGUCCACAUUGGGCUGAGCUACGGCCCGAACUCCUACGGGAGGCAGCACUGGGGACUAUUGCACAAUGGGGGAAACCCUGAUGCAGCAACGCCGCGUGCGGGAUGACGGCCUUCGGGUUGUACCCCGCUUUCAGCCAUGACGCGGUAGUGGCAGUAGAAGCACCGGCUAACUACGUGCCAGCAGCCGCGGUAAUAC
rnacentral:rRNA from 1 species